CCCCAAACGCCUUAGAACACUCCCCUCUCACUCGAGACCCUAGACUUGAUCCUUUCAAGAUAAAAAAAAAAACCCCACCUUUCCAAAAACCAGACCCAACAGCUAACCUAAACCCUUAACCAUUUUCUAAACCCGAAGCCCUCUGGUGAUCAAUAUACUCAUGAAAACAAAGCUCACACUCAGAUAAUAACUGGAAACACCCAAAAGAUGAUAGAUUUACCUUAGACCUGAAUGGGUUUUGGUUCCUAGAGAAGAUGAUGAUGACCUCUAGAUUGGGAAGGUACACAUCCAAGUGGUUGUAUGAACGGGACAGCUGUCCUGUACGGCUUUUUUUUUUUGGUACAGUUGAACAAAGCAGUAAACUGACCUGUACGGCUUUGGUGCAUCUCAUCUGUGAUAUCUAUUUGCUGGAUCCGGCCACUCAGAGAGAUGAAGAGUCUUAGGGUGCACCACACAUGCCAACUCGAAGAUCUUCAAAAUGUUGUUAGCUGUUGGAUCUUAGAGCCAGAUCCAACGGCCAAAACUCGACUGCGUAUGGGACUUUAGGGUUUAGAAAACCCUAAAUUCGUCAUCCUUGAUCCUAAGCCAUCGGAUGAAGACUCCCAAAUCUGAUGGUCCAUAUGAUGCGACGCUGGGAGUUUGUAACAGAAAACCCUAAUAGGUUUAGGGUUUCUAUAAUUAGGCUUGUAACAUCCGGGUCUGGCUGCUCCGACUUGGGCCUGCAAUUGUUUAAAUUAGGCGUGGGUUGGGUUUUCUAUUGAUGUAGGCCUGUAAUAAGAAAGAAAUUAAUAAACUUUAGUACUAAUAUUAUACA